CAGAAGACUACGUUCGCUCAGGAGUCAGGAUUGCAGCAGGAGAAAGAACACAACAACAACUUCUGGAAAAGAAAACUCAACAGAAAGUAAACAACAAAAAUGCACAGGUAAAUAACCAGAUGAAAAGGUAUCAGUCCAAAGCAAAUACUUAGUCCUUUGAAAUAAAUGUCCAACGUGGAAACAAAAAUACUCAGAUCCUUGAGUGAAAAGAGUUUCGAUGCUUAGCAAAAAAUGUGUCCAAAAAGUAAAAAACAGGUUUACACAAUAUUUCCUACCAGUGUGAUGAACAACUUCCAGAUUCUAUGAAAUGGGAUGGCUCGCCAGUUUCUGCAACCGUGUGUCUCUCUCUCUCUCGAUGGACAGCAGAAACAAUUCUCCCAAACGUCAACAAAACUCCAGAUCCAGAAUCAGCAUUGCUCUCAGGAACAUCAAUAAACAAAGAAGAGAGAGAGAAAAGAAAAGAAACCAACAAAAAAAAAAAAAACCCAACCUUGCAAAACAAGGCAGAAAAUUACAAUUAAUAUCAGAGCUCUCAAUAUCAAAAGCAUAUUUCAGUAACACACUGAAAAAAUGUACAAUUGCACUCACAAUAUACACAUCUCUUUUUUCUUUAAACACAUUUCUCAUUAAAAUACAACAACUGAUUUGCUCAACUUACUCAACCCAUAUAAAUCAAUGCGUUAGCCAUUAGCUAAGACCGCAUGGUUAGCAUAACUCCCUGUGCUUAGCAUCACACUUUCAGCACAUAUUAUUGACAUAAAAUAACCAUUUGACCACAAAUCAACAUAUAUACACAUAUAUUUUUCUUCUAAAACAUUGAACAGAAAUAAAGCAUAAUUUAGACGUUUGUUUUGUAGUGAAACACUACACUAACUAAUUUAUAUAAAGGACAGACAAAUACAUAUACAUGUAAUUCACUUACCAAGAAAAAUAGUGAGUAAACAGAACAAUCCCGGAUGGAAAAAUAAAAAUCUCUCUUUUGGUUUCUCUCGAGUGAAUUAACUUUUUUCUGUUUCCUAUUCUCUUCAGAUCCAGUGCAAUCGCGAUCGUCUAAUGUAAGCACCACUUUACUGCUAACGAGCGAACACUGUUCUCAUAUUUCAAAACACUUCUCUUACAGAUCGACUUAACUUAAAACACUUUAAAUCUCUGUUCAAAAGCUGUUUUUGCUAAAUCGCCAUGUCUCCGCUUCUCACCGUUCUCUCCCUUUUUCUGUUUGUUCUCCUCAAUCCCCUUUUUCUGUUUUUUUUUUGACGUCAACCUUGAGGGAGGGGUUACUCUUAAACGGCCAGUUUCUAAUUUUACUUAUUUUCCUAGACAUUUUCUGUUAUUAACUAUUUCACUUAGUAUAAGUUGAGAAUUCGAUAUAUAAUAUGAAUAUGAAUAAAAUAAUGGGAUGAUAUUAAUAAAAUAGUCUUAUUUUAUUUACAUAUGUAGUAAUAUAUAUUUUUCUCUAUUCACAGGUGCUGGCUCUUGUAACCUGGGUUACAUCCUCCCUCACGGAAUAUAUGCACGUCCCUGUGCAUUUACACAUCGAUGAUAGGGGGAACCACAGACUCUUCAAAGGAGCACUCGACUGCCUUACUUAAGCCUUGCAAUAAGGACUGAAACACUGUGACUCUUGUUGCAACCAAGGCUCCUGGCUGGCUCGCCAAAUUUUUCCCCUGUAACACCCGCGAAGAAUGCACGGAAGGAAAUAAUUUGGUUUCACAGCUACUUCUAUGUAUGUGUGGGGCCGGAUCAGAAGACUACGUUCGCUCAGGAGUCAGGAUUGCAGCAGGAGAAAGAACACAACAACAACUUCUGGAAAAGAAAACUCAACAGAAAGUAAACAACAAAAAUGCACAGGUAAAUAACCAGAUGAAAAGGUAUCAGUCCAAAGCAAAUACUUAGUCCUUUGAAAUAAAUGUCCAACGUGGAAACAAAAAUACUCAGAUCCUUGAGUGAAAAGAGUUUCGAUGCUUAGCAAAAAAUGUGUCCAAAAAGUAAAAAACAGGUUUACACAAUAUUUCCUACCAGUGUGAUGAACAACUUCCAGAUUCUAUGAAAUGGGAUGGCUCGCCAGUUUCUGCAACCGUGUGUUCUCUCUCUCUCUCGAUGGACAGCAGAAACAAUUCUCCCAAACGUCAACAAAACUCCAGAUCCAGAAUCAGCAUUGCUCUCAGGAACAUCAAUAAACAAAGAAGAGAGAGAGAAAAGAAAAGAAACCAACAAAAAAAAAAAAAACCCAACCUUGCAAAACAAGGCAGAAAAUUACAAUUAAUAUCAGAGCUCUCAAUAUCAAAAGCAUAUUUCAGUAACACACUGAAAAAAUGUACAAUUGCACUCACAAUAUACACAUCUCUUUUUUCUUUAAACACAUUUCUCAUUAAAAUACAACAACUGAUUUGCUCAACUUACUCAACCCAUAUAAAUCAAUGCGUUAGCCAUUAGCUAAGACCGCAUGGUUAGCAUAACUCCCUGUGCUUAGCAUCACACUUUCAGCACAUAUUAUUGACAUAAAAUAACCAUUUGACCACAAAUCAACAUAUAUACACAUAUAUUUUUCUUCUAAAACAUUGAACAGAAAUAAAGCAUAAUUUAGACGUUUGUUUUGUAGUGAAACACUACACUAACUAAUUUAUAUAAAGGACAGACAAAUACAUAUACAUGUAAUUCACUUACCAAGAAAAAUAGUGAGUAAACAGAACAAUCCCGGAUGGAAAAAUAAAAAUCUCUCUUUUGGUUUCUCUCGAGUGAAUUAACUUUUUUCUGUUUCCUAUUUUCUUCAGAUCCAGUGCAAUCGCGAUCGUCUAAUGUAAGCACCACUUUACUGCUAACGAGCGAACACUGUUCUCAUAUUUCAAAACACUUCUCUUACAGAUCGACUUAACUUAAAACACUUUAAAUCUCUGUUCAAAAGCUGUUUUUGCUAAAUCGCCAUGUCUCCGCUUCUCACCGUUCUCUCCCUUUUUUUGUUUGUUCUCCUCAAUCCCCUUUUUCUGUUUUUUUUUUGACGUCAACCUUGAGGGAGGGGUUACUCUUAAACGGCCAGUUUCUAAUUUUACUUAUUUUCCUAGACAUUUUCUGUUAUUAACUAUUUCACUUAGUAUAAGUUGAGAAUUCGAUAUAUAAUAUGAAUAUGAAUAAAAUAAUGGGAUGAUAUUAAUAAAAUAGUCUUAUUUUAUUUACAUAUGUAGUAAUAUAUAUUUUUCUCUAUUCACAGGUGCUGGCUCUUGUAACCUGGGUUACACAAGCAUUAGUUUUAACUUUAUAAAAACUAUCAUUCUCUAACAGAGAAAGAAGGUUUUCA
ensembl:lncRNA